rnacentral:tRNA from 1 species
GUUUUGAGUUCCUAGUAUAUUUCUUGUAUGUUUAAUUGUUGAUUAAUUGGUUAGUAGUUCUUU